UGCCUGCACCUCAGACCUCUGCCUG
rnacentral:piRNA from 1 species